CGGUUGAUCCUGCCGGAGGCUAUUGCUAUCAGGGUUUGACUAAGCCAUGCGAGUCGAGAGGUGAAAGACCUCGGCAUACUGCUCAGUAACACGUGGAUAAUCUGCCCUCAGGUGAGGAAUAAUCCCGGGAAACUGGGGCUAAUGCCUCAUAGGAGACAGGUGCUGGAAUGCUCUGUCUCUGAAAGGUCCGCCGCCUGAGGAUGAGUCUGCGUCCGAUUAGGUUGUUGUUGGGGUAACGGCCCACCAAGCCAUUGAUCGGUACGGGUUGUGAGAGCAAGAGCCCGGAGAUGGAUUCUGAGACAUGAAUCCAGGCCCUACGGGGCGCAGCAGGCGCGAAAACUUUACAAUGCGAGCAAUCGUGAUAAGGAAACCCUGAGUGCCUGUCAAUGCAGGCUGUUCUGGUGUUUAGUCAGCACCAGGAGAAAGGGCGGGGCAAGACCGGUGCCAGCCGCCGCGGUAAUACCGGCUGCUCGAGUGAUAGCCACUUUUACUGGGCUUAAAGCGUUCGUAGCUUGGUCGUUAAGUCUCUGGGGAAAUCUUUUGGCUCAACCAAAAGACGUCUCAGAGAAACUGGCGACCUUGGGACCGGGAGAGGUAAGACGUACUUCGGGGGUAGGAGUGAAAUCUUGUAAUCCCCGAGGGACGACCGAUGGCGAAGGCAUCUUACCAGAACGGCUCCGACAGUGAGGGACGAAAGCUGGGGGAGCAAACCGGAUUAGAUACCCGGGUAGUCCCAGCCGUAAACGAUGUGCGUUAGGUGUGUCAGUGACCACGAGUCACUGAGGUGCCGAAGGGAAACCGUGAAACGCACCGCCUGGGAAGUACGGUCGCAAGGCUGAAACUUAAAGGAAUUGGCGGGGGAGCAC
rnacentral:rRNA from 1 species